rfam:Schistosoma haematobium scaffold598_2, whole genome shotgun sequence.
AUUCAACUGAUGCGUUCAAAAUAGGACGAAGCUCGCGUUCUGAAU